UCGGACCGUAUUGCUUAAUUAUACUGCACUCGUGUGCUUUACUGAACUCUAGUUUACAGUACUGUACUCUAUUUGACAGUACUGUUCUUUACUGUGCUGUCCAAUCUUGUGAAACAUAGACGUCUAUGAUUGGUUCAGAUUUGGUCCUACCAGGGUGGACUGACCAAAUGAAAACUACUUUUCAACCUUCGUGGACGUCCGGUGUCGGUAGGUGCUCAGUGGGCGAGGAAACUUGUUACAGUAAAUGGAAAGAGGGUAGGUGGUAGGUGUCAUGGUAGGAGUCAUUAAGAGCCGGGAGACGUGACAUUAACUGGAGAGAGAGAGAGAAGAGAGAGAGAGAGAGCGGCAGAGAGAGAAAAGAGAGAGAGCGGCAGAGAGAUAGAGAGAGAAAGAGGGGUGUGUUGUCCAGACUGUUUUCACAGUCUUGCUUUGACUACCAGAGGAUGGAAAGAGAAAGAAAACAGUUAUGAGCUGAACAUAACAGUAUGCCAGUAUUUCCCAUUGUAGCCAAUUCAAUUGCAGUAAUUACGUUAAAGAUUUUUCAGUAAUUACGUUACCGAUUUGGUAACAGAAUUACGAGUUUUAAUCACUUAAUAACUUUAAACAAUCUUUAAAAUCACUAUAACUAAUUGAUAGGUCUAGCAUUACUUGUUGCUUCUGUGAACUUUCCUUAUCCUCCCCCCUCAUGAGGGAGAGACAUUAUAAAUUAUCUCCAAGAUAUGUGGGUUUUUGGAAAUGGAAUUACAAGGCUAAAGUCAAUGUUUCUUAAACUUACAGAAGGCAAAUCAUUUCUCCAAAAGUAGAGAGGGGCUCUGCCCUAGCUUCUAGCCAGUCUUGGAGGUCUACUCUGGGGGAGGUGGGUGACUACACCCCCUGCCUCUGGUUCUUCUACAUGAAGACUCCCCCAAAAGCCGUAGGGGGAGAGGGGUACCAGCCCAUCUGCCAGUGCUACAGGAACCAGUAGCAUUUUGCCAGGCUGUACCAACGCCAGAGCCGUGCUCCCCUCUGCUCCUCCUACUUACCCCUGGCGGAGGCAAACGGCCCAGAGACAAGUGGAUGUGUGAACCACAGUUGGAGUUCUCCAGUACCAGUCCAGAGAUGCAUUGUUUCCCACGACAUGGCCCUGUGGACCAGAACGUGGUGGAGAGCCAGGUGGUGCUCCAGGACUACACCAGCUCCUCCUAUACUAACAGCCACCCCAACCCCAGCCUGCACCACUAAGGCCCAGAGGACCACCUUCACCCUCAGCAACGUGGUCCCUCAGCGGGCAGCCUCAAACUCUAGGCCCCUGGGCUCAGCUGGAGGUUGAGAUUAGGGCCCGGAUGGGUGAUUACUGCAUGGGGCCGGCGUAUGUGGUGACACUGCCAUACCUCUCUGAGUGCUGGAUGGCUAACCGGGUGGUCUGCCUACUGCUGCCCCUCCGAAAAAUGUAGUCUCCCUGCCAGAGACUCUACUUUCCAUCAUAUUCCGCUGUGGGUCGGAACGACCCUCAGAGUGGAGAUUGGACCGGUGGACCCCCAGUCAAAUGCAUCUGUUCGGGGGUACGAUGUGAGGCGGUUGGCCCUGGACACCGUAGGGGAAUAUUCUACAGCAUCCACAUCAGCCAGUUUCACACCCAAUGUCGAUGAGCAGGUAUGUUAGUAAGAUAAUUAUGGUCUGUCCAGUCGGUGAAAAAUAAAAUGCUAGCGUUUCCUCCCCAGUUACAGUACACACACACACACCUACUGAACACUAACCUGCUUAAAUGGUUGCUAGAGAAUAUCAUGUCUCGUGAAAAUGGAGGACAUGCGUUGAAUAAUUACCCAAAGAUUAAAGCAGAUUGAAAAAAUGUUUUAAGUAUUAUAACCGCAUGUAUUAAAAAACAACAGAGCGUC